rnacentral:tRNA from 1 species
AGUAAAAUGGCUGAAAUUAAGGCGAUAAAUUGUAAAUUUAUUAAUGGAUUUAAUCCUUUUACUA